rnacentral:rRNA from 1 species
GACGAACGCUGGCGGCGUGCCUAAUACAUGCAAGUCGAGCGGACGUUGUUGGAGCUUGCUCCAAUAACGUUAGCGGCGGACUGGUGAGUAACACGUGGGCAACCUGCCUUAACGACUGGGAUAACUCAGGGAAACCGGGGCUAAUACCGGAUAACAUCUAGCACCUCCUGGUACAAGAUUAAAAGAGGGCCUCUGGCUCUCACGUUAAGAUGGGCCCGCGGCGCAUUAGCUAGUUGGAGAGGUAAUGGCUCCCCAAGGCGACGAUGCGUAGCCGACCUGAGAGGGUGAUCGGCCACACUGGGACUGAGACACGGCCCAGACUCCUACGGGAGGCAGCAGUAGGGAAUCUUCCGCAAUGGACGAAAGUCUGACGGAGCAACGCCGCGUGAGUGAAGAAGGGUUUCGGCUCGUAAAGCUCUGUUAUGAGGGAAGAACACGUACCGUUCGAGUAGGGCGGUACCUUGACGGUACCUCAUCAGAAAGCCACGGCUAACUACGUGCCAGCCGCCGCAGUAA